UUUCCUCCCUAACUUGCUUCUUGGUCAUGAUAUUUUGUCCAGGAAUAGAAACCAUGACUAAGACACUAGGGUAUAGCUUGCUUGAAGUUCAAGUAUUCAGUAACCCUGUAGCUAGCAUGAACUUUAUGCCUCAGGGGUGGGGGGAGGGCAUGAAGGCUGGACCUCAAUAUUCAGUGACCCUGUAACUAGGCAUGUGUUUUAACCUCCAGCCAUACAGAAGGCUGCACUUGUUUGAAAUUCUCUGAACUGAGAGGUUAGAAACAAUGAGAAGUUGAGUCCCUUGACCCUAACAACAUAGGACAGGAUUUAUCCAACUUGAAAAAAAACAUUAAAAAAAAAUGUAUGCAUGUCAUUGAUGUCAUUCCCUCUACCCAAAUGCCCUUUGUUCUUCCCUCUGUCAAUCCAAGUGCCAAAUUUCUGCAGAACCUGAUCAAUAUUCAUCCCUGUUACCAAUAUCUCCCAGACUUCUACAUGCACUACCCUUAGUUUCCCCUGUCCCCAUUGCCCUGUAAUACUGCUUUGUGAAAGUUCUAUUGGAUUCUGUUUUCUGUCUAGAUUACAUCUUCUAUACUUCUAUGUUGUCUCCUGAAACCUUUAAUGUUCUUUUUUAUGCACAAUUGAGGUUCAACAUAUCUUCACUAAUCUUCAGUAAUUGCAAAUAACAGCCCCAAACGGAUGUCAGGGAUAAUUAUUGACUAGGAUUGGCCACACUGUACCAGGAACUUCACUUCAGCUUCUGAGAGGCAACGAAGAGCAGCAGCAAUAGCCUAUGCUAAUUCGGGAAUCUCUUGGAUUUCAUUGACCAACAACUCAAAAGAAGGUUUACAUACCCGAUUAUUUCUUGAAUUGAUUGGGAGGUAGAAUUACAAGAGAUGCCCUGUGAAGCUCAAGGAUGCGCCUAUGAAGACUGAUCUAUUGAUGAAGUGAGAACUCUUCAAUGACCCAGGCAACUUUCAAUGACUGGAUCUACCAGCCUUAAUCUUUACCGGUGUUUUGACCAAAUGCUAUACUAAAAGGUUUUCAAAUUUCCCAGUGAUUUCAGCAACCUUUGCCAGAACAGUUUCAAACGCCAACUCAGCUCCCUGUUGUAAAGUGGAUCGUUUGAAACCAUGCAUGCCAUUUCUGCAGUGAUGAGCAGGAGGUCUGGCUUUCAUGACUACACUUAGCAGCCUGAGAUAAAGACUUGUGUUGACAAGAGUUUGCUAACACUUCAUUGUGAUGACACAUCCUGUCAGCUGUCUGCAAUCACUUCUCCAAGAACAAUGCCCCACCCACUCUUGGGCAUUCUCUUAAGGAAUAGCUGUCUAUUUUAAUCUUCUGAUUACUCUUUCUCUAUUUCUGUUUAAAAUGGCAGAACUCGUGCUAACAUUAACUGUUUGUGAUUUUGCCUGUGCUCUUUAUUGUUCUUGAAUGGAAGAAUAAAUUACUAAAACAUGAAAGAAAUUUGAAAAUACGCAUUAGAGUUGAGAAGUAGUGAUGUUUAUUGUUGUUUUUCAUUAAAGUAUUUCUUCUGCAGAGAGCUUAUGUUGUAAUGAUCCAACAUGGUGCUUCACAAUAUAAUCAUGGUCUUUAGGAAGCUGAAAGGAGAACUGUGUACUCUAUCCACUGUAUAUCAAAUAAAUCAAUCUGAAGGAUGUGUGGCACAAUGGUUUGAGUGACUUCAAGGUCCUGGGAUACAUAGGGAGUUCUAAGCUUCCUGGACUACAGUUUAAGGCCCUAUACAUUGGGCCCUGAUAUGAGCCCUAUGCACAGUAUCUGCUUUUGUUUUUGUAGGAAUUAAAUGAGAUAAUGCCUUUUAAACCUGACUGGGAGUGAUGGCUCAAAACACAGUCCUAAUUUUACCCAUAGUCCCUAGUCCUAACCAUUGGAGUGGCUGCAUUCCAACAGAGCCCAGAUACAGGUGCUUGGACAUGUAGGAAAUUCACACAGGUCUCCACAGCCAUCUAAAGGUUAUGCCAGGAUGUUAAAAUUCCAGCUUAGGACUCUGCCACAUCACCUCCAAUAAGAUCUGUGUGACAAGUUCCACAAACUGAGGCGAUUGACCUCAAAAGGGGGAGGCCUCUUGGAACUGGUUGUGGAACUCUUUGCCAGAGAAAAAUGAUUGAGCUGUAGUUCUCAUGGCAAUCUAUCUGUUUUGCUUUCUCUUAUUCCUUUUCUUAUUUACAUGUUCCUGGUAGCCUAGGCCAAGAUCUUAAUUGAGAAUAAUGGGUAAGAAACCACUCCUAGAGAUGGGGCCACUAAGAUGACCUUAUCCCCAGGGAAACCAACGCUUUACUUUCCAAAUCAUUUACAAAACUAUUAUGAUAAAAAUUUUCCCAACAAUAAAAUUUCAUAUGACUACACAUGUGUCAUUGGAGGUAGAUUUUGAGAUAUGGUAAAGAAAGCCUUAAUUAGAAAGAAUUAAAAUAGUUCAAAUUUAUACAUUGAAGAUUA